rnacentral:sRNA from 1 species
UCUACGACGAAGAUUCGGCCUGAUGGCGCGG